GUGUCAGCAGCCGCGGUAAUACGAAGGGGGCUAGCGUUGUUCGGAAUCACUGGGCGUAAAGCGUACGUAGGCGGAUGCUUAAGUCAGGGGUGAAAGCCUGGAGCUCAACUCCAGAACUGCCUUUGAUACUGAGCAUCUUGAGUCCGGGAGAGGUGAGUGGAACUGCUAGUGUAGAGGUGAAAUUCGUAGAUAUUAGCAAGAACACCAGUGGCGAAGGCGGCUCACUGGCCCGGUACUGACGCUGAGGUACGAAAGCGUGGGGAGCAAACAGGAUUAGAUACCCUGGUAGUCCACGCCGUAAACGAUGGAAGCCAGCCGUUGGCCAGCAUGCUGGUCGGUGGCGCAGCUAACGCAUUAAGCUUCCCGCCUGGGGAGUACGGUCGCAAGAUUAAA
rnacentral:rRNA from 1 species